rnacentral:rRNA from 1 species
UACGUAGGGGGCAAGCGUUGUCCGGAAUCAUUGGGCGUAAAGAGCGUGUAGGCGGCCCGAUAAGUCCGCCGUGAAAGUCCAGGGCUCAACCCUGGAAUGCCGGUGGAAACUGUCGGGCUGGAGUCCGGAAGAGGCGAGUGGAAUUCCUGGUGUAGCGGUGAAAUGCGCAGAUAUCAGGAGGAGCACCAAUGGCGAAGGCAGCACUCUGGGACGUGACUGACGCUGAGACGCGAAAGCGUGGGGAGCAAACAGG